UGGGGGAUAUUGCACAAUGGGCGAAAGCCUGAUGCAGCGACGCCGCGUGGGGGAUGAAGGCCUUCGGGUUGUAAACUUCUUUUGCUCUGAACAAGGCAUGCUUUUGGGGUGUGUUGAGUGUAGGGGUUGAUUAGCGCCGGCUAACUACGUGCCAGCAGCCGCGGUAAUACGUAGGGCGCGAGCGUUGUCCGGAAUUAUUGGGCGUAAAGGGCUUGUAGGUGGCUGGUUGCGUCUGUCGUGAAAGCUCAUGGCUUAACUGUGGGUUUGCGGUGGGUACGGGCUGGCUUGAGUGCAGUAGGGGAGGCUGGAAUUCCUGGUGUGGGGGUGGAAUGCGCAGAUAUCAGGAGGAAUACAGGUGGGGAAGGCGGGUCUCUGGGCUGUUACUGACGCUGAGGAGCGAAAGGGUGGGGAGCGAACAGG
rnacentral:rRNA from 1 species